rnacentral:misc_RNA from 1 species
AGUGGAUAUAAGACGUUCUGCUAUCAAAACAUUGACAAGAUUGAUCCCUCGUGUGCAGGUCACUGGUCAUAUUUCUGCUCUUGUGCAUCACCUGAAACUUCCAGUGUGUGUAGUAUGUCUAGAACGUAGGUGUAGUCAUUACACCUUUCUGCAUCACUUAGGACUUGAAUACAGCAAGGAAGAAUAAUCGGAAGAUGCGUUCUGAACUCAUCAUUGAGAGCUAAGCAAAGUUGUUCCACAAGAUGCAGAACUGGAAAUCCACGAGCAGGACGAUUAGUUGCAGGCAAACUAAAGGACGACCAUAGUUCAGAUACU